rnacentral:rRNA from 1 species
UACGUAGGGGGCGAGCGUUGUCCGGAAUCAUUGGGCGUAAAGAGCUCGUAGGCGGUUCAGUAAGUCGGCUGUGAAAUUCCGAGGCUCAACCUCGGAACUGCAGUCGAUACUAUUGUGACUAGAGUCCGGUAGAGGAGGAUGGAAUUCCCGGUGUAGCGGUGAAAUGCGCAGAUAUCGGGAGGAACACCAAUGGCGAAGGCAGCUCGCUGGGACGUUACUGACGCUGAGACGCGAAAGCGUGGGGAGCAAACAGG